ensembl:lncRNA
AGGUGACCCACGCUUGGGGCUGCUUCACAGGGGUGUGACCUGGGAGCAACACAGGGUCAGGCGCUUGGAAGGGCUCCGUGCCCAGAAGGGUUCUGUGCUUGGUUUAAUGCUCUGUUGUCACCAUCUUGAAAUUCUUAACUUUUUAGCAAAGGGCCCAGUUUUUCAUUUGCAGUGAGCUAUGCCCUAAGAACUGACCAACGCUGGAGCUUUAGGCUUCCUAGGUGUUGGCGACUUGUGGAGAGAGGCUCCUGUGGGGCUGCUCACCCACACCAUCCGGCUGCCAUUAGCACUGCCAGUUAAAGUUGCUGGGAACCUCUGUGUGCCGGGCACUGUGUUAGAUGCUGGAGAAGCAGAAGGAAGGAGGCUGGGCACCUGCCCCAGGAGCUGCCAAUCAAGACUAGAGACUGGCAGAACAGGCACCUGGCAAAAGUUUGCUGGAGGAAACGGAACUGAACGACCCUUGGCAGAGUGGAGCUUCCUGCCCGCCUCCCUUCCCUUCCAGCUCUCAGCCUCUCGACCUUGACACGUUCCUUGCCAUCCCCACUCCCGUUUCCCGUACUUUGCAUGCCUGGGACGUGCUCGCUUCUUCCUGGACCCCUUCCCGCCGGUGCCGGGAUCUUGGGACCCAGGCAAGGAGGGGCUGCGGCUCCUGAGCUCUCACCCAACCCUGCAGGCCGGGUGUCAUCUCAUGCAACAGCUGACGGUGACGCCUCCACCACUCUGGUGUCACUUUUAACACUGCACGUUCACACCACCGGCUGACUGUCUGCGCAAGGCGGCCCCAGCAGAGCCGCGUGCAGCCGCACCCCACAUGUGCAGUUGUGAAGCCGGCAGUUGUUCAGCAGGUUCUCAUGGCCUCACUUCCAGACGUGUUACUUCUGGAGGGAACAACACCACGGAACUGCCAAGCUCUCCCAAGAAGGAACGACAGGACCUGCCUGUCCCGUGUCGGCCUGGAGGGGGAGGGGAGGCGUUUCGGAGCGAUGGCAUGCAACGACCUGGGCCCUGGACCUCCGCUACCUGCACACAGUUCCCUACGUUAGAAGAACAAGAGGAGGAAGAGAAAAAGGAAGAGGGAAAUCAUGUCACCGUGCCACUAAACCCUUCUAUUAAAUCUGCCUGUUCACCACGUUUUCAGGCUAUUUCAUGAUGUAAUAGUAAGAGACAAAAGCAACAGCCGCACCCCUAUACACGAUGUGAUCUCAGUUGUGCAGCGUGUGCCGGGCAUGAUCACUCUUCACCUACAUCAGACUCCCGCCACUUUCAGGCGGCUGGAGGAUUCACUUCCUCCUCUCCCGAGAACAGGCUUGGCUACGUGACUUGCUUUGGCUAAUGAAAUGUGACGGACGUAAUGCGUCACUUCCGGUGCCGUAUUUAAUUGCUGGCGCUCCCCUCCCCAGCCCACUCUCCUGCCUCAGCAGCCUUCGGAGGUGGCUGAUCUGCAGCGCCCGGAAGAUGGCAAGGGCCACCGCAGUGGGGAGGGCACCCCUGAGAGUCCCCCAGACUCCAGUGACCUGGAUUUCAGACUUCCCCUGAAACAUCUAAAUGUCUGGCAGCACUGGGCCCUCAUUCCUGCAUGGAGCAAUCAACGGAGCCUCUGCCCUUUGCUGCGAGGAUGGGGCACAUGGCCUCCAGGUCCUCAGGAGUUAACAGGACCCAGUGAAGAGGAGUGGUGCCCAGUGGCCCAGCUGUGGGAGGGAGCCCACAGGACGCAGUGACAGCAAGGAGGAGAGUUCUGGGCACCUGUCAGAACAGAGGAGACGGCAGAGGCCAGGGGGCCGGAGGGCAGCCACAAGGUGCUGUGGACGUGCAGUUCCAGAAACAUUAAAAAGAUCCAGCUCAAUUCCUUCAGCCUCAGCCGCAGGGACUGAUGACCCACAGUGCUAAACGUUGUUGGCCCCAGACGUCUGACCUGCGACCCGACGCUCUGAUGAACGAGUGGAAACCCAUGUGCAGCAGCGGCUUCUCUGCUCUGUCAAGGGACGUCCCCCAGUGGGGUGACAACUCCACGUCGGAGGUAUCUGCUGGCUCUUUGAGAGACUUUGGGACGAGCUCUUUAUCCCGUGGUGACAGCGUCCACAUCUAAAUGGCUUCAUCACAACGAGAAGCAGCUCACCGUUAGGUAAACUCAGAGCCCUCAGGAGGAAAAAAUGGUG